rfam:Triticum aestivum genome assembly, contig: Triticum_aestivum_CS42_TGACv1_scaffold_157966_2DL
UUAUUACUCCCUCCGUCCGAAAAUACUUGUCAUCAGAAUGAAUAAAAGAAUGAAUAAAAAGGGACGUAUCUAGAACUAGAAUGGGUAAAAAGGGACGUAUCUAGAACUAAUAUACGUCUAGAUACAUCCCCUUAUAUUCAUUUUGAUGACAAGUAUUUCCGGACGGAGGGAGUACAUU